rnacentral:rRNA from 1 species
UACGUAGGGGGCAAGCGUUGUCCGGAUUCAUUGGGCGUAAAGAGCGUGUAGGCGGCCAGGUAGGUCGGUUGUGAAAACUGGAGGCUCAACCUUCAGAGGUCGACCGAAACCAUCUGGCUAGAGUCCGGGAGAGGAGAGUGGAAUUCCUGGUGUAGCGGUGAAAUGCGUAGAUAUCGGGAGGAACAUCAGUGGCGAAGGCGGCUUACUGGACCAACACUGACACUGAGGCACGAAAGCGUGGGUAGCAAACAGG